CACCUCUUAUCUCAUUUCUAUCAAAUGCCCAGCAUGUGCAAAUCCAAUAGAGUCAGAAGGAGAUUGAGGCCAAGGAGUAAGAACUAUGGAGCGACGGCAGAGAAGGUAGAGGUUUCUCUCUAGCCUUGUCUGUGGUGGUGUUUGCACAGCUCCGUAAAUAUACAACGAGUCACCGAUGAUGGCUUAUGGGUCCUAGCUCAUAAAAGCUGGCACUGUAAGAUUCCAAGGACUGAGGUUCAAGGAUAUGGGGUGGCCACCAACAAACAGGUGGAAGUUGGCAAAGCAGGGCCUAACCCAAGUGCACGUGCGCGGGAAGCUGGAAUUGACAGCAGAUCCAGGACUUUACCAGGCACUGAUACAGGGUGCAGGUGGCUCAAGUGGCAUCAAUAGUAACAACACUGAAAUCCAUGCAUAUGGGGGAGUUUCAGAAAACGUAUAGGGAAUAUAUAUUGUGAAGGAACAAUG